rnacentral:rRNA from 1 species
UUGGACCUGUUAUCAGGCAAAGGUACCCGCUGAACUUAAGCAUAUC